rnacentral:misc_RNA from 1 species
AAGUAAAAGUCGUAACAAGAUUUCCGUAGGUGAACCUGCGGAAGGAUCAUUAUUGUAUACCCGAGGUGCGAGGGCUGUCGCUGACCCGAAAGGUCGUGCACGCCCGAGUGCCCUCACACACAUCCAUCUCACCCCUAUGUGCACCACCGCGUGGGUCCCCCUUUGGCUUGUUCGGAGGGGGGCUUACGUUUUCACACAAACUUUGUAUGCAGUGUAGAAUGUAUUUUUUGUUUUUGCGAUCACGCAAUCAAUACAACUUUCAACAACGGAUCUCUUGGCUCUC